rnacentral:rRNA from 1 species
AGAGUUUGAUCAUGGCUCAGAACGUACGCUGGCGGCACGCCUAACACAUGCAAGUCGAACGAAGUAGCAAUACUUAGUGGCAGACGGGUGAGUAACAUGUGGGUAUCUGCCCUUUGGCCUGGAAUAACACGAGGAAACUUGUGCUAAUACCGGAUAAGUCUUUACAGAGAAAGCUUUAUGCACCAUUGGAUGAGCCCGCACUUGAUUAGUUUGUUGGUGGGGUAAUGGCCUACCAAGACUUUGAUCAAUAGCUGAUUUGAGAGGAUGAUCAGCCACAUUGGGACUGAGACACGGCCCAAACUCCUACGGGAGGCAGCAGUGGGGAAUCUUGCACAAUGGAGGAAACUCUGAUGCAGCGAUGCCGCGUGAGUGAAGAAGGCCCUUGGGUUGUAAAGCUCUUUCGUCGGGGAAGAAAAUGACUGUACCCGAAUAAGAAGGUCCGGCUAACUUCGUGCCAGCAGCCGCGGUAAUACGAAGGGACCUAGCGUAGUUCGGAAUUACUGGGCUUAAAGAGUUCGUAGGUGGUUGAAAAAGUUGGUGGUGAAAUCCCAGAGCUUAACUCUGGAACUGCCAUCAAAACUUUUCAGCUAGAGUUUGAUAGAGGAAAGCAGAAUUUCUAGUGUAGAGGUGAAAUUCGUAGAUAUUAGAAAGAAUACCAAUUGCGAAGGCAGCUUUCUGGAUCAUUACUGACACUGAGGAACGAAAGCAUGGGUAGCGAAGAGGAUUAGAUACCCUCGUAGUCCAUGCCGUAAACGAUGUGUGUUAGACGUUGGAAAUUUAUUUUCAGUGUCGCAGCGAAAGCGAUAAACACACCGCCUGGGGAGUACGACCGCAAGGUUAAAACUCAAAUGAAUUGACGGGGACCCGCACAAGUAGUGGAGCAUGUGGUUUAAUUCGAAGAUACGCGCAGAACCUUACCAACACUUGACAUGUUCGUCGCGACUUUAAGAGAUUAAAGUUUUCGGUUCGGCCGGACGAAACACAGGUGCUGCAUGGCUGUCGUCAGCUCGUGUCGUGAGAUGUUGGGUUAAGUCCCGCAACGAGCGCAACCCUCACUUUUAGUUGCCAUCAUUAAGUUGGGCACUCUGAAAGAACUGCCAGUGAUAAGCUGGAGGAAGGUGGGGAUGACGUCAAGUCCUCAUGGCCCUUACGUGUUGGGCUACACACGUGCUACAAUGGUAUCUACAACAGGAAGCAAAACAGCGAUGUUAAGCAAAUCCUUAAAAGAUACCUCAGUUCGGAUUGCACUCUGCAACUCGAGUGCAUGAAGCUGGAAUUACUAGUAAUCGUGGAUCAGCGUGCCACGGUGAAUGCGUUCCCGGGUCUUGUACACACCGCCCGUCACACCAUGGGAGUUGGUUCUACCUUAAGGCAAGGCAUAAAACCCUUGACCACGGUAUAGUCAGCGACUGGGGUGAAGUCGUAACAAGGUAGCCGUAGGGGAACCUGCGGCUG